CCUACGGGUGGCUGCAGUGGGGAAUAUUGGGCAAUGGAGGAAACUCUGACCCAGCAACGCCGCGUGAAGGAUGAAGGUCCUCGGAGUGUAAAACUCUGUCGCGAGGGAUGAAGAAUGACGGUACCUCGUAAGAAAGCCCCGGCAAACUACGUACCAGCAGCCGUGGUAAUAUGUAGGGGGCGAGCGUUGUCCGGAAUGAGUGGGCGUUAAGGGAGUGUAGGCGGCAUAUUAAGUGAUGUGUGAAAGCCCGCGGCUCAACCGCGGAAUUGCAGAGAAAACUGGUAAGCUGGAGUGCAGGAGAGGUAAGUGGAAUUCCCGGUGUAGCGGUGGAAUGCGUAGAUAGCGGGAAGAACACCAGAGGCGAAGGCGACUUACUGGACUGUAACUGACGCUGAGGCUCGAAAGCGUGGGGAGCAAACAGGAUUAGAUACCCCGGUAGUC
rnacentral:rRNA from 1 species